GAUGGCAGGGUAAGGGCCUGCCGUGGCGAUCAUGGAUACGGGGAAUCAGUGUUCGAUUCCGGAGAGGCAGCCUUAGAAACAGCUACCAUAUCCAAGGAUAGCAGCAGGCGCGAAAAUUACUCAAUUCUAACUCAGAGAAGUAGUGAAAAGAAAUAACGAUUCCCCACAUUUGUGGGGAAGUACUCUUCGGAGUUUGAAAUGGUCGCACCUUAAAUAAGUGCGAGAGUAUCAAGUGGAGGGCAAGUUUGGUGCCAGCAGCCGCGGUAAUUCCUACUCCACAAGCAUACACUAAUGUUGCUGUAGUUAAAACGUCCGUAGUCCAUGUAAGUGCCUCGUCACGGGAUUCGGGUAGCCACAACUGCGGUCGCCGGGCGUUCUGCCCAGCGGUCCGUAGGGCUGGGCGCAAGUCCAGCCGCGUGGCUGCUCCUCUGGCGCGCAUGUGCUGUGCUUCGUGCAUGGCACGCGUGAGUCUCGCGACGGGGUGCGCUUCACAACUGUGAGUAAAUCAGCGUGCUCAAAGCAGGCUAUGGGCGGUCUUCGGGCCGUCCGGUGCUUGAAUGCUCUAGCAUGGGACUGUACCAUAAUUGACCCGGUCCUGCGGGGCCGGGUCAGCACUGUGGAAAAGGGAACAGACGGAGGACGCAAGUAUUUUGGCACUAGGGGUGAAAUCCGAAUAAUGCCAAAAGACUAACAGACGCGAAAGCGGUGUUGUCCACGGCCUUCUCGUUGAUCAAGGACGAGAGUCAGGGGAUCGAAGAUGAUUAGAUACCGUCGUAGUCCUGACCGUAAACGAUACUACCGAGAGCUUGGGGACAUGAUACCAUUUUACUGAUCUCCUCAGGAUCCAAGGGAAACCGGGAGGUUUCGAGUUCUGGGGGAAGUAUGGUCGCAAGGCUGAAACUUAAAGGAAUUGACGGAAAGGCACCACCAGGUGUGGAUGCUGCGGCUUAAUUCGACCCAACACGGGGAAACUCACGAAGGUAGGAUGUAGAGAGGAUUGACAAGCUAAAGACUUUUCUUGAUUCUACAAGUGUUGUGCAUGGCCGUUCUUAGUUCGUGGAUUAAUCUGUCUGGUUAAUUCCGAUAACGAGCGAGACCUCAACUUGCUAAUUAGGAGGGCGAUUCUCGAAUCGUCUUUCGGCCUUCCGGCCAUCCUUCUUAGCAGGACUGUCGGCUCUCAAGCCGAAGGAAGUUUGAGGCAAUAACAGGUCUGUGAUGCCCUUAGAUAUUUUCGGCAGCACGCGUCAUACAAUGUUGAUAGAAACGAGUUGACGGUUGUUAUCGCAACCGGCUGGUCUGAAGAGAUCGGCUAAACUUCAAAAUAUCAACAUGACAGGGAUUGGCACUUGGAAGUUUGCCAUGAACGAGGAAUACCUCGUAAUCGCAAGUCAUCAUCUUGCAAUGAUUACGUCCCUGCCUUUUGUACACACCGCCCGUCGCUCCUACCAAUUGGAGAAAGAAGUGAAGUGGAUGGAUGAAUUGCUUCGGCGAUUUGCAGAAAUCCCCUGAACUUCUUUCUCUGUAGGAAGGAGAAGUCGUAACAAGGUC
rnacentral:rRNA from 1 species